rnacentral:rRNA from 1 species
AAUACCGACGAUGGUGUUGGGUGAGCUGGGGCGUAAUAUACAAAAAGGGGGGGAGAGGUGGGUGCGGCCUCCCUCACGGGGGCGCCGCAGCCCCGCCUCUCCGGAGGUGUGGGGCGCCCGCCGGAGGUACGAAACUCUGUAUUAUAGUGGCAUCUCUGAGUAAAAAACAAAUAAGUUAAAACUUUCAACAACGGAUCUCUUGGUUCUGGCAUCGAUGAAGAACGCAGCGAAAUGCGAUAAGUAAUGUGAAUUGCAGAAUUCAGUGAAUCAUCGAAUCUUUGAACGCACAUUGCGCCCGCUAGUACUCUAGCGGGCAUGCCUGUUCGAGCGUCAUUUCAACCCUCAAGCCCUGCUUGGUGUUGGGGCCCUACGGCUGCCGUAGGCCCUGAAAGGAAGUGGCGGGCUCGCUACAACUCCGAGCGUAGUAAUUCAUUAUCUCGCUAGGGACGUUGCGGCGCGCUCCUGCCGUUAAAGACCAUCUUUAACUCAAGGUUGACCUCGGAUCAGGUAGGAAUACCCGCUGAACUUAAGCAUAUCAAAAGGCGGAGGAA